UCGUGAUAAAAAACCUCCUGCCUACACUUUUUAACAUCGCGCCUAAUUUUCUUUUUUGCGACGGCAUUGCACCGUGGUAAAAAAUAAAAAAUAAAAACCAAUCCCACCGCCCGCGCUCAACUCUCAGUUUCCCCUCUCCUACCGCAGUCUCCUCUUCUCCUCUCCAAACCCUACUGCGCCUCCUCCCCCUCUUCCGCUCCAAACCUCGGCGUGCUCCCCGAUCUCUCCAUCGUGCCGCUCCAAACCUCGGCGUGCCCCCCAAUCUCUCCAUCGUGCCCCUCCCCACGGCGUGGCCCCCAAUCU
rnacentral:lncRNA from 1 species